GACCCAAAUAAUGCACAGCCCUACCUUUAAUAUUAGCUAAGCGGCUUAGAUAUACUCCUCUAUUAGAGUUGUUCAAGAUGGACACCUAAUUCAGCAUGGUACUGACAUUUGGCAAGAUGGAUACCGGAUGACAUGCUAUCUCGUUGCCCCAACUUAUUAUAUCCCAUCCCCUGCGCUUCUUCUACACAGUGCACUCGCACUCUCCUCAUUCAAUUUUCACGGAUAAACACACAAAUUAACAUAUAUUACGCUCUGACAAAAAACGUUGUUCAUCACUAAUUGUGACAAAACAUUUUCCUCCAUAGCUAACUAGCACCACCAAGCUCCAUUACUCUAUUAAUCCCACGCCAAUAAUCACAUUUCUUUCAUCAAUGACGCGAGAGUCGGCCCCUCCGUCCAUCCCCCGGCUAUCCUACUUAAAAGGAAAAUCAUUCUUAUCUCAAAACUCCUAUUGGUAAAAGAGUUUUUGCGGCUGAGUCAAAACUCAAGGAGCUCGAGGUUUUGGGUGUUCAGAUCUAGGCCAAAAGAAUCAACCCAAGCGACACUUUCCGGUCGAGCUUCGAUCUUUCGAAAGAUUCCAGUUCAUGGCUUCGUCCAGUUGUUUGAGUUUGAAAAUGCUGAAAUUUGUUUCGUCAGUGUAAAGAUCUUAAGGUCCUUUCUUCUCUUUAACACUUGUGGUUCUUGGUUUAAUGAUUUAUUUAAAUUUUGCUCGCAUUGUAUUUUUCCAUCAAAUGAUAAUCUUGUUGUUUAUGUGAUUGCUAGUGGCUUGGAAUCGCAUAUCUAAUUAUUUUCUGGAGUUUAUAUAUAUCAUUUAAUUAUAUAAAUAAAAUACAAUAUAAAUACUAGUGGCAGAAGAAUUAGAGCAAAGAAGGUAAAAUGUAUUGUGGGUGGUGAGGACCAAAUAUUAGGGCUACAUGAGAUUGGAUGUUCAUUUUGAACAAUUCUAACGGAGGGACAAUUCUAAUGGAGGAGGGAUAUAUUUGGGCCACUUAGCUAAUAUCGAUGAUAUUUUUGGGUAAAUGUAAUUUGGCAUAGCAGAGGAGCAAAUAUGAGCACUAUUUCCUCUUUAAAUAGUGAUAGUGACCAGUGAAUUGGGACAUAUAUGGGUUAGGAGUUCCGUUUGUCGUUACUCAGUGGUUUUACACGAUUUGGGCCUUUUUAGAUGGCAUAAGCCAAACUGAUCAUCACUUUUGUAACCUUGUAUUUAGAAGGCAGAAUAUAUAAUUUGUCGCCUGAGCUUGAUGUCAAAUCCUUCUGAUAUACUUUUUCAAUUAGGACAACCAUUUAUACACCCAAUCUGUCCAAAAUGUGUCUAAAACACCCCCUUUGGUUACAUGGCACUCAUGUUUUUUACACACAAAAAAGACGUGUUAACCCUAUAUAAUGUCUGUCCCAAUCUUUAUUUAAGUCUGUGCGUCAGACUAUUUUACUUUUCUUUUUUUUAAACAAAAAAUAUUUGGUUUCCUUUCCUUACCCAGUGAUCUCACUAUUCCCCAACGUCCCUUACUGUUCAGCGCUGCAACCCCACUCCCCCGCGUCUGGGUCGGGAUCCCCUCUAGUGAUGUUUGGUCCAGUAUCGUUCAAUAGGGUGCUGAUUUUCUGAUACGUGUCGUACUAACUAACCAAUGGACAAGAUUUCCUUAGCUAAAAACUAGUUUAACCAUGGUUCUGUUUCUCUUCUCUCAGUUGUUCUUCUUUAACCCUUUUCAAGCUAUUCUUUCGUCCUCUUUCUUUUUGCCUUCUUUGCUCUCUAUGACUAGUAUUUCUUUUAUUUGCAAUAUUAAUUAUUGGGUGGUGGAGAGAGGACUCUUCUUAAUAAACAUUUGCACUUGCCUCACCUUAUUCAAAUUAGUCCAAGAAAGAAAUAAGCAAAUAACAAUGUCCCGAAAGGAUAUCUAGCGAUUCAAAUAGGGCAAGUAGAAGAUAAUGUUUCAUACUUCAAUCGCCCAUUUUUCAUUCUGUUACUCAAAGAGGCUGAGGCAGUAAAUUUUUUUAAUCAAAAGGGUACACCAUUACCAUUCCUUGCUAUGUCGACGACUUUGCUGCGUUCCAGCCAAGAUUGAUAAAUACCACCAACACCCUCUUCAUGUCCGAUGUUUAUUGUUUUAGAUCCUAAUUUUUUUUCUUUUCGAAGGUAUGGUUGAGAUGAAAAGUGGCAUCCUAGAGGAAUUCGUUUUGCGGCUAUGCAUGAGACGGAAUUAAAAUGGCUUCGAACGUCACUAAACUCAAUCCUGAUAUCGCAGAAAGAAAGCAUCUCUAGGUGAUUUGACCUUCCUCUUUACUCAGUGGCGGAGCUAGAGAAGUUAAUGCGAGUUUGGACGAACCCAGUAACUUUUGCUUAGACUUUGUAUUUGUAUUAAAAUGUUCAAAAAAUAUGUAUAAAUAUUUAAUUGUGAACCCAGUAACUAAAACGAGUUAUGAGUUCGAUGAUAAAUUCAAAACCCAUAAAUUUUUAAUCGUAUUUCCGCC
rnacentral:lncRNA from 1 species